rnacentral:rRNA from 1 species
UACNUUGAGGCAGCAGUGGGGAAUAUUGCACAAUGGGCGCAAGCCUGAUGCAGCAACGCCGCGUGAGGGAAGACGGUUUUCGGAUUGUAAACCUUUGUUCUUAGUGACGAAGAAGUGACGGUAGCUAAGGAGCAAGCCACGGCUAACUACGUGCCAGCAGCCGCGGUAAU